rnacentral:lncRNA from 1 species
CUCAUUGUAGCCUUUCUCUACAAUAUCCCAAACAUCAUGUGCACCUAGGAGAGCCUUCAUCUUGAUACUCCAAUUAUCAUAGUUGCUCUUGUUGAUCAUAGGAACUUGGAAGGAUGCAACACCAUUUGCCAUUGUUUUAAAAAAAUUUGGAUAGAAUCUUGUGGCUCUGAUACCACUUUGUUGGAAGAGGAUUGCUACUAAUAUUUGGAGGGAGGCUUUUAGGCUAAGGGAAUUUUGGAAGAGUGGAAAGAUUUUGGAGAAGAGAAACUUUUAUUACUCAAACUUGUUUUUGAUUUUUUU